CUUGUGAUGGUCUUGCAAAGGGAAAAACUGGCAAAAUAGUUAACUUAAUUGUACUACAAACACCUGUUUGGAAAAUAUCAGGGCCAACAAAGCGAGCAGGGAAGUCGGGGGAUUUACUCAGGAAGUUUGCUCAGAAAUUCCACUGAAGUUUCUCUCCAGCUUGCGCCGAAAGUCAUCUGUCAUCUGAAAAAAGGCAGGGCCUACAAUAAUAAAGCGGGGCUGGCAGCAUCUCUCAGGGGGGAGCUGAGUGGGAAAACCCUUUCACUCAGUGACAGUCUGGAAGCAUUGACGUAAGCGAUGAAAAAAACAGAUCGGGAGGACGGAGGCUCCCAAAAUGGAAAAGCAAGUGAGUCAGAACGACAGCAACUCACACAUCAUCAGGCACAAGCACCUUCAUAAAGUAUACUCUUCACUUAUACACACUGUUCAGCCAAAAGUCAGUCUGUUGUUUUUAAUAAGCUUCCUAAGAUCAAACACAGGUGUCACACAAUCUACCACCAAGCUGCUGUAACCACUUUGACGGUUGUUUUUGAUGAAGGCUGUGUGUCUGUGCGGCAGAUUGAUCUCUCGCACGCACCCGACACUCAGCUUAUUAACUCCUGUGUCAGAGCUCGAGUUACACAUCUGUGAAAACAGAAACCAUGGUGCUUACAUAAGCCCUGGGCAGCAAGGUCACCGAUGGUGAGGUGCAGGAGGUGGCACGGAGUCAGUUUGAUGACAAACAUUAAUAAUAAGCUAUUAACAAUGGAGCCUUUGCUGUAAAUGUCAGUCAGUGAGGUGGAGGCAGAGGCCAACUAAGGUUUUCUUUGAGAGGGAAGCACUUCUUGUUCCUCUUGUCUUUGUGUUCCUGUGGUUUUGUCAGUUUUUAAUUACUUUAAUGACUGCAAAGGAAAACAAAACUCAAGGCAAAAAAAAACAAUCAUCUGAUCGUGUGAUGCUUACUAACAAUAACUGGGACCAUAUAUGGUUCUGCUAUGCGGCAGAAUACGUGACAUGCUAAAAGGCAAGUUGAAUUGCUUUGGCAGCAAAGCACACAGGAACAAACUAAAAACAACAUCAACUGCUUUAAAAACAUUUAUGUGUGCAUUCACUUAAUAACCAAGAGAUGUGUGUCAUCAUCUUGGCAAUGAUACACGAGUUUUUAUUUUUAAAAAAAGAGACGCACAACCUGCAUAAUAAAAAUAAAAUUGAGCCUUGAGGGAUGUUAUGAGUGAUGAUGAGCAGUUUCUGCUGUUGGAUGAGUUUCUUUCUUUUAUUUGAACAUAGGGAGCUGAGGAUCAAAUAAUCAGUGAGGCUUUCCAGCAGUGCUGCUACAGCUGUGUUUGACACAGCUGGCAGAGAUUACUGAUAAUGUAAUUUUCUUAGGCAAAAAGGUCAACUAAAAAUUUACUUAGACACUGUCUCUUCUCUAUUCUCAGAUCAACAAUGAAAAGAGUCUGGAGGACUCAAGACAGACAUGGGCUCCUUAGCAAAACUUACUGGAAACAUAUGCUGCGGUCCAGUUACCUCGGAAGUCAGAUGUCGG